CUUCCUCUUAGAAGAUAUCUAAAGUAGCUAGAAAAUGACACUUCAAUUUCUGAAAUUACAGAUUUUUUUUCUUUUAUAAAACUAGACUUUGGUCAUUUCAGAAUGGAUGAAAUGAUCAUCACCCGUAACUGGUCAAAGUGUUCCCAAUCCAAGAAUGCAACCUUUUGAAAAAUGCAAGGAAUGGAAAGCACCAAUGCUUCAAAUGGGGUGCUGUGUUUAGCAGUAAGAAGAGAUUGGGAUACUAUCAAUGGCUGAAAAUGCAGAGCAAGCAAAUCCAUAUCCAGCGAAAGUGUAUCUUUCAAUGAUAACAAACCAUGGAUGUCUCCAGGAUAAAAUGGAUCUAUUGUAAUCAACCUGCUAUCAGGAUGUCAUUUUGUUGUCUUUUACCUGUUAAAGUUUAAGAUUAGAAGUCUGCAUCCACUUAUCUGUAAGUAAUAUGUCCUUUUUAAAAUCUGGUUUAAUUUUUUUCUUAUAUUACUUGUUUUAAUACACCUAGCUACAAUGUGAAUGUAAUAUUUAAAAGGACAGUAAUUGGUGUGAUUUGGUUCUGCUUGAA